UACAGAGGUCUCGAGCGUUUAGGCGGAAUCACUGGGCUUAAAGCGUGUGUAGGCGGAUCGGUGAGUACCUUGUGAAAUCCCACAGCUUAACUGUGGAACUGCUUGGUAUACUGCCAGUCUUGAGCCACUUAGGGGCUACCGGAACAAAUGGUGGAGCGGUGAAAAUGCGUUGAGAUCGGAAGGAACGCCCCGUGGCGAAAGCGGCUCACUGGGUCUUUGCUGACGCUGAGGCUACGGAAAGCUAGGGUAGCGAACGGGAGUUAGA
rnacentral:rRNA from 1 species